UGUACAUUUAACUAUAUGCAGAUGAUGUUCAGCUCUUAAAAAUAGAACUACUUCCUUCUGUAAAAAUGGGAUAAAUGUGGAGUUUGGAGAAGAGAUUCAACACUAACCAACCUAAAGGUUCAGAUUUAAGCACCAAACAUGUUCACUGUGACACUGGCUUUGGAAGUGAAGCUUACUUUGGAAAAGGAACAAAAUUAACCGUUUUAGAACCGGGUCGUAAACCUGUCCAACCGAAAGUCCAGAUCCUUAAUCCUUCGCCGAACGAAUGUCGAAACCAGAAGGAUGUGAGAAAAAGGAAGAAGACGCUGGUGUGCGUGGCGUCUGGCUUCUACCCCGACCACGUUAGCGUGCACUGGCAGCAUAAUGGGAACAACGUCACCAACAGCACCGGCGUGGCGACCGACGCCAACGCCCAGAUGAUGGAGGACAAGUUCUACACCCUGACCAGUCGACUGAGGGUCAAGUACGAGGACUGGGACGACGAGCACACCUUCACAUGCAUCGUCACGUUCUUCGACGGGGAAGACUACGUGGACAUUCCAGCAGAGAUUAAGGGUGUUAAAAAUAUUUCCACUGACGGAGACACAAUGACACGAGAGAAAUAUCUGAGUACGACGAACGCUGCCCGACUCUCGUACGGCGUUCUCAUCGUGAAGGGCUUCGUCUACGGACUCUUCGUCAUGCUCGUGGUUUGGAAACUGCAGGGUUCAGGAGGAAAAGGCUCCUGAAGAACCAGACUGAGGGAAAACUGACCCAAAUACUCCAUGUUUAGUUUACACAUUUUGAUUUGACAUUUAUUUUCCACAUUUUUCUACAUUUAUUUUCCAUACUUAUUGUUUUACAUUUAUUUUCUACAUUUAUCUUCCUAUUUUUUUUUUUUUUUUU